GGCUAUGCAAGGAUCUUACCUACACCACACAUUGAAGCUCUCAGUCCAUCUCUUUGGCAAACGAGAUUUGCUAGUGUUAGCUUCCAAAUUGUUGCAGUAACUUCAAUUUGAAUCGGUCUCAAGAGAUCGAGGAAUCUGUUGUCGGAGCUCGCGAAACCAGUGCAGAGAAUCUCCCUUCAUGCUAACCAAGGCAAAAUUAAUCUUCAUUCCAUCUUGGGUAAUGAAGAUUUCGAAAUAUCACCCCGC
rnacentral:misc_RNA from 1 species